rnacentral:rRNA from 1 species
GACGAACGCUGGCGGCGUGCUUAACACAUGCAAGUCGAACGGAAAGGCCCUGCUUUUGUGGGGUGCUCGAGUGGCGAACGGGUGAGUAACACGUGAGUAACCUGCCCUUGACUUUGGGAUAACUUCAGGAAACUGGGGCUAAUACCGGAUAGGAGCUCCUGCUGCAUGGUGGGGGUUGGAAAGUUUCGGCGGUUGGGGAUGGACUCGCGGCUUAUCAGCUUGUUGGUGGGGUAGUGGCUUACCAAGGCUUUGACGGGUAGCCGGCCUGAGAGGGUGACCGGCAACAGUGGGACGGAGAUACGGCCCGGACCCCUGCGGGGGGCAGGAGGGGGGAAUAUUCCACAGGGGGGGGAAGCCUGAGGCAGAACCGCCGGGGGGGGGAUGGCGGCUUUGGGGUUUUAACCCGCUUCCGCCUGUGAAGAAGGGUGAGGGAGGGAAAGGGGUAAAGAAACCCGGACAAACUACGUG